rnacentral:lncRNA from 1 species
GGAAGGAACCAAUGAACAGCUUAUUUGGGGACUGAAUUCUAUAUGGCACUUCCUCUUUCUUCCACUGAGUUGAACUGUUACUAAUGGAGUCAGUCAGUCAUGACUAAAAGAAAAGACAGGAUGAAGAACAACAACAUAGAGGUCUCUGUUGUUUUUUAGAAGUUAAAGAAGAGAUUUGUAUUGCUUAAUAAAAUGCCAACAAGGAAGAAAGGAAAGAACAGAGGAAGGGAACAAGAGAGGAAGAGAGAGACAGGAAAAAAGGAAGAAGGAAGGAAGAAAGGAAGGAAAGAUCAGAGAGAAAUGACAGAAAUGACAGAAGGAAGAUAUCAAGUAUUUUUAUUAAAAAUAAAAAUGUCCUUGAUCAAAACCU